rnacentral:rRNA from 1 species
GACGAACGCUGGCGGCGUGCUUAACACAUGCAAGUCGAACGAAGAGCGAUGGAAGCUUGCUUCUAUCAAUCUUAGUGGCGAACGGGUGAGUAACGCGUAAUCAACCUGCCCUUCAGAGGGGGACAACAGUUGGAAACGACUGCUAAUACCGCAUACGAUCUAAUCUCGGCAUCGAGGAUAGAUGAAAGGUGGCCUCUACUUGUAAGCUAUCACUGAAGGAGGGGAUUGCGUCUGAUUAGCUAGUUGGAGGGGUAACGGCCCACCAAGGCGAUGAUCAGUAGCCGGUCUGAGAGGAUGAACGGCCACAUUGGGACUGAGACACGGCCCAGACUCCUACGGGAGGCAGCAGUGGGGAAUCUUCCGCAAUGGACGAAAGUCUGACGGAGCAACGCCGCGCGAGUGAUGACGGCCUUCGGGUUGUAAAGCUCUGUUAAUCGGGACGAAAGGCCUUCUUGCGAAUAGUGAGAAGGAUAGACGUACCGAAUAGAAGCC